rnacentral:rRNA from 1 species
CCUACGGGUGGCAGCAGUGGGGACUAUUGCACACUGGAGGGAACUCUGAUGCAGCGACGCCGCGUGAGUGAAGCAGUAAUUCUUUAUGUAAAGCUCUAUCAGCAGGGAAGAAAAUGACGGUACCUGAAAAAGAAGCUCCGGCUAAAUACGUGCCAGCAGCCGCGGUACGACGUAUGGAGCAAGCUUUAUCCGGAUUUACUGGGUGUAAAGGGAGAGUAGGUGGCAGAGCAAGUCAGAGGUGAAAACCCAAAGUUCAACUAUGGGAAUGCUUUAGAAACUGCUCAGCUAGAGUGCAUGAGAGGCAAGUGGAAUGCUUAGUGUAGCGGGGAAAUGCGUAGAUAUUAGGAGGAACACCAGUGGCGAAGGCGGCUUGCUGGACUGUAACUGACACUGAGGCUCGAAAGCGUGGGGAGCAAACAGGAUUAGAUACCCCAGUAGUC